rnacentral:rRNA from 1 species
UACGUAGGUGGCGAGCGUUGUCCGGAUUUACUGGGCGUAAAGAGCGCGCAGGCGGCUGGUCAAGUCCGAUGUGAAAGCUCCCGGCUUAACUGGGAAAUUGCAUCGGAAACUGAUCGGCUGGAAGGUGGGAGAGGGUAGCGGAAUUCCCCGGUGUAGUGGUGAAAAUGCGUAGAUAUCGGGGAGGAACACCAGUGGCGAAAGCGGCUACC